UGUUGAAACACCGUCAUUUGUGUUGUCAAAAAUACUAUGCGCAUUAUAAUUCAUAGUAAUUUCACUAUGUGCUUCGUUCGAGUGUUUGUUUUUUGAGGGUCAGCCGUUCGCGAUUUCGGAACGCGAACAAAAAUUAUCGGAUUGUCGGUUUGUCGGAUCGGGAAAUGUAUUCCCUCAGAUUUCCCAGAUUGUGUCGACGACCAGCUGGAAAGGACCUCAACGAGCCUUUGAACCAACGCACCCGGAGCGGGACAGCAGAUUAGUCUGAUCGGAAAUUUUUCAGUGUCGGCGAAUGCGCUCGAGUUCCUCAACCUCCCUCGAUUUCGGAUAUUGAACAACGUCGGAGGACAUUGUGACGAAAGCUGCUAACCGGUGAGCUGGUCCACUGUUUGCGGAACGCAAUUUCAGUACAUCUGCUGGGCCGUUAAAUGCUGGCUUUCAGACGCUAAGUGUGAUGCAACCCCUGUGCCCCAUUCGUGGGUGGUGCUACCACCAUGAAUUGAAAUAUAAAGA